UACGAAGGGGGCUAGCGUUACUCGGAUUGACUGGGCGUAAAGGGCGCAUAGGCGGCUUGUACAGUCAGACGUGAAAUUCCUGGGCUCAACCCGGGAACUGCGUCCGAUACUGGGAGGCUUGAAUCCGGGAGAGGGAUGUGGAAUUCCAGGUGUAGCGGUGAAAUGCGUAGAUAUCUGGAGGAACACCGGUGGCGAAGGCGGCAUCCUGGACCAACACUGACGCUGAGGAGCGAAAGCCAGGGGAGCAAAGCGGGG
rnacentral:rRNA from 1 species